rnacentral:lncRNA from 1 species
AAAAUAUAAAUAAAAAUAUUUUAUCAGUUUUUUCUUAUUAUAAUUAAAAAAGAACUGGAGACUAUAAAAGGGUAUGCAUGGAAGUCUAGAGAUCACAGAAAACACACACUUCAUUUCUUAAGAAAAAAGUUGUUGAAGUUUGAAGAGAUCAUGAGGGCAAUAUAUAUUAUCAGCAUCAUUAUAGUGAGCUUGAGCAUUUUCUCUUGUGGUGGGAAUGCUCGACUUCUUCCUGCUAAUAGAGAUUAUCCAUGGGCAAUGUUUGCCCUAAGGCUUCAAUGGCCAGCUGGAUUUUACGAGGUCAACAAUGACUGUGAUACAAAGUCUCUCCUCAACACAUUUACCAUUCACGGCCUUUAUCCCUAUAACGCGAAGGGGAUCCCAGUGUUAUAUUGUGACGGAACUGCCUUUGAUGUUAACUCUGUGAGUUCUCUCAGUCUGCAUUUAAUUUACUUCUUAAAAUCCUUGCUCUAUUGUCUAUUAAAUAUGUUUUUUUGUGGUAACAUUUAUAUAUAUCUUGAAGAGUUGGAUAUGUUUGUUUGAUAAAAAAAAUGAAAUUGUACAUGCAAUAUAUAUCCAUACAUACUCACAUAUGUUAAACUAAUUUCUCUCCUCCUUUAUUUUGAAAAUUAACAGGUAUCGGACUUUCAAGCAGAAAUGCAUCUUGCAUGGCCGAGUCAUGAAACUAAUACUGAGGACAAACAAUUCUGGGAACACGAGUGGAAUAAACAUGGAAGGUGCUCAGAAGCUUUGUUGAAGCAGACUGAUUAUUUUAGAACGGCGCUUGCUUUUAGAAAAGCAUUUGAUAUAAUUGGGCUACUAAACCAGGAAGGUAAACAUACCCAUUGAUAUAUAAUUAAAUAGUCUUUAAUUUGGUUCAUUAAUUGCUUCCUAAGGGAACUACGUACUUAAUUUAGAUUUUGUGGAUGAUUAAUUGAUAAUGUGAGUUUGAUGAGAUUACUAUUCAAAAAUGUGUAGGGAUUUACCCGAAUAACGACCUUUAUCGUCCUAAAAUGAUAAAAGAAGCAAUCAAAAAGCACUUGAAUGCUGUGCCAGAAAUCGAUUUCACCAAAAACGAAAACUCAGAAUAUGUGCUUACGGAUAUUAAUCUAUGUGUGAACCAACAAGCAACAAGGUUCGUAGAUUGCCCUACCGAUGACGCUACUGAUGACUACCGCCUCAAAUUCGUAAGACUACCUUCUAAAAUGAAAAUUGCGGAUCCGAGGACCAAUUCUAUAAUAUAGCACAAAUGGUACGGCUACAAAAUGGACUACUAUCUUGUUUAAUUAAUGCUUUUGGGAGUAUAUAUUAUCUAUGUAAAAUAGUUAUGAGUGCUAGGGUUGGCUAAUUAGUACUAUGAGGCCAACCUUUAGUAUCUCUUGAAUAAUGUCCAUGUAGCAAAAGUUUAUAGCACUCUGGCCUUGGUGUGUAUGGAUAAUUAUAAUAAAUGACUACUUUUAUCUGCAAAAAAAAAUAAAAUCCAAGUAUUUUCUUUUGUUUUUAUUUUUGAUAAGAAUUUAAUUUUAUGUAGUUUGAUGGCAUAGUUUAUCUAGGAAGCUGAUAUUUUCACAUGUUAAAAUGAUAUUUUCAAACGAGUCUCUCACAAUAUGGAUGUGGGACUUGCUCACUAUUCAUGUGAGAGGGAUUAUGUGAAAAUAUCAAAUUUUUAUGUGAAAAUAUUAGCUCCCUUUAUCUAUUAUAAUGGUGAAACAUGACUUUUUGAUAUUUUUCACAUGAAAAUCGUCGCUAUAGAUCCUUUAGUAGUGGUUUUUACUGUCGCUAUACAUCUCUAUAGCUACAUUUUUUAUAUAAAAAUAUCAAAAAAAUAUGUGGAAAUAUCAAGCAUGCAUGCAUCGUACCAGAAAACAUUUAAAGGGACACUUCAAAGGGAUUUCAGACAAAAAAUAAAACCAAAAAUAAAUGAUUUCAUCACAAUUUUGUUUUCAAGUAUUGUCGCAAAUCAGUGGUCACUAAAAAAAAAAAGGAAAAUAUAUUUGUCGCAAUCUAUAAAACAUGACUGAAAACAGGGGCGAAGCCACAGUUCAGGAUGUGUGGUCAAUUGAUUUCAUUGAAAAAUAUAUAUUUUAUAAUAUAUGAUAAAUUUAAAGAAUAUUUAAGUGUAAUAAAUAAAUUGACUUCAUUGAAAUUUUAUAACCUUUUUAAUAUACGGUGUUAAAUUGAAUUUUUUAUAACUUUCUCAAUUCUAUAUUAUUUCUACUCCUUGAUGUAUGCUUAUUUCUCUAAUAUUUUUAAAAUAAAUAAUAAUUUAAUUUAUAUUAUUUUUAUAUCAUAAGAAAUUUAAAUAUUUAUUAACAAAUUUAUGAUUAAAAAACGUAUUAGGGGUCAAUAAGGAGUUUUUUUGUGUGUGUGUGUGUGUGUGUGUGUAUAUAUAUAUACAUGUUGUUUCAUUUUAUGUCUUUAGGUUUAGUUUAUCAGGAUACUAGGUAGAUUAUUUCAUUUGGGUCUCUCUUGAGCCUUAAUUUUAGGUUGCCCUCUUUUAUAAAGAGGAUGAUUCGAUUUCAACUGCUGACAUCUGUACCAGUUGGUUCAUGGACAAGUUUCUUUUGAUAAGUUAGUAUCAUGGACAAAUAUAAAUAAUAAUUAACUGUUACAAUGAAAAUUAAACUUCAAUUAAGUCUAGGCCAUUCAUACAUUGAAAAAAGCUUCUUGAAUAGGUUAGAGAGUUUGUGAAAUAUUUUUUUAGUUUGCUUAACCCUUUGAAAAGCGGUUGUGGUAAGAACAAAUAUUGAUAAGUUAUUGAAACACCGCUUUUCAAAGGGUUAAGCAAACUAAAAAAAUAUUUCACAAACUCUCUAACCUAUUCAAGAAGCUUUUUUCAAUGUAUGAAUGGCCUAGACUUAAUUGAAGUUUAAUUUUCAUUAUAACAGUUAAUCAUUAUUUAUACUUGUCCAUGAUACUAACUUAUCAAAAGAAACUUGUCCAUAAACCAACUGGUACAGAUGUCAGCAGUUGAAACCGAAUCAUCCCCUUUAUAAAAGAGGGCAACCUAAAAUUAAGGCUCAAGAGAGACCCAAAUGAAAUAAUCUACCUAGUAUCCUGGUAAACUAAACCUAAAGACAUAAAAUGCAGUAACAUAUGUACAUGAAGGACAUAUUGAAACACUGCUUUUUUUUUCUUUUUUGAUAAGUUAUUAAAACACCGCUUUUCAAAGGGUAAGCAAACUUGAUACAGGAAGAGAAGUAACCCUUUGAGCAGCAGGAACCCAUCUGGGUGGAGGCGAAUCCAACAAUCAACUCAGAAUUACAAAAUCCUAUACAAUAAGAUUACACACAAACUCUAAAUUUCAUUCAUUUAGUUAGAAAAUUAGAAAAUACCUUGGGAGACGACGAACUUGCUUUCGAAUUCGUCCGGCGAACUUGCUUUCGAAUUCGUCCGACGAGAUGCUUGGAUUUGCGAUUGAGAAUGAGCCAGAUUUCGUCUGGCGAGAUGCUUGGAUUCGCGAUUGAGAAUGAGCAAGAUGGUCUCUGUCCUUUUUUUGACCCGAAAAGGAUCCGCGGCUAUUUUUUCCCAAAAGGUCUGUGUCUUUUCCUCGCCGUUGGAUGUAUCUCACGAUUAGUAUGAAAAGUUCGUAUUUUUGGCAACAUCCGGGCGCCCGGACCAGAUCGUUUCUGUAUAUGUAUGUAUGUAUAUAUAUAUAUAUAUAUAUAUAUAUAUAUAUAUAUAUAUAUGCGUUGUGAGAUCUGUGGUAUUGUGUUGCAUGGGGUAAUAUAAACUAUGCAAUAAGUGAUUUCUGUGUUUAAUAAAUAUAUUAUUAUAUAUUUGUUAUUUAUUGAAGAGGCAAGUUAUUUGAAGUAAAGAAGAUGGAUAAAAAUUUAUCGAUAUUAAAUAAUUUAUGUGAAAUUAUUUUAUCGUAGUAAGUUGGUGACAUUAAAUAUAUUUGAUAAUCACCAAUUUCUUUAGUAUAUGUAUGAGUAAGUAUCACGUCUAAGGCAGUGCAACCGUACCCUUUAAUGGUGGUUGUGUAGGAGCUGGGCUAACUGAUUCCUUCAGAGAGCGGAGAUAUAUACAAAUUAGUAACCGAUCUAACUUACUGUGAAAACAGUGUAGACGAGAAGGAAAGUAAUUUGUUGGUUAUUUGUGGGAAACCACUCAGUGUACUAUAUUGAAUACUAUUAAAGACUCGAUGUGUGUUAGGUUUAGACUUGUAUAUAUAUACGUUAUUGACGAGAGAAGAAAAUCGAUAUAUCUUUAGAUAAAUAUUGGUUAGAGAUUUAUUGAUUAAUAUUGAGAUAUGAUUAAAUGUAUAGAUUAAAGAAAUUGUGUUGAGACAAUUUAUAGAAAGGAAAGAGAAAUAAUUAUAGUAUAUUUCUAAUAAAGGAUAUUAAAAUAAAUUCUAGCAUUUGAUUAUUUUAAUAAUAAUGGGGAAUAUUAUUUUGAAAUUACCUUAUAGGUAAUGUGUGUGAUUAAGUAAUAUGGUAAAUAUAUUAAAACAUAUUUGCUAUAUAAGUUGAUGGAAACAAUUUAUCAUAAUAGGAAAUAAACUUAUUUUCUAUAUAUAGUGUGUACGUGUGUCGUGCAUGUAAAUAUUUUAAUAAUACAUAGAUAUUAUAUUAACAAUAAUAUCUUGAGAAAAUGAGUAAAUCGUUUUAUUAUGAUUAGUUCCUAUAUUUAGAGAAAACAUGAUAAAAUCAUCGUAUGUUAUGUUAUGGCGAAAUACAUAAUUUUGAUUGUAGUAAUGUAUUUCCAAGAAGGUUAAAGUUAAAAGAAAACUAAGUUAUUCUAAUAACUUGAGUUAUUAUAUUACCGCGAAUGUUAUAAAGAAUAUUUAAAUAUCUUCAUUCACGAUAUAUUUAUAUAUGUGAAUCUUGUGAUAUAAUAGUUCGAUGUAAAUUGAACAUAUUAUAAAUAGUAAGGUUCGUGGUAAAUGAAUAAGUAAUGAGAAUGAGGAUAAGCUUAAUGUAAGCUUGUGAGAUAUGCCUAGUGUGGUAAAGUGAUGGAAUAAACAUUCAUUAAAUAAUUUAAUGAAUGAAUAAUUGAAGGAAUUAAAUUGUAUGUGCAAUGAUUAUAUAUUAUAUAGUAACUACAUCUAUAUGAUAUGAAAUGAAGUGUGACACUUCAAUGGUAACUAUAUAAUAUAUGAAGUAUUUGAAUACAUAUGUAUAAAGACUAGUAUGCUAGCAUUAUGUACAAGUGAGAUAAUAAAUGUAAUAUGGUACAAUAGACCACUUCCAUGACCAUAUUAUAAGAUGUAAUGUUAAGAAUAAUAUUAUUUUGUGAGAUUAUUUUAUUAUAAGCUUGUGGACUAUUAAUUACUAAGUUCACAUAAUUAUGUCUUGUGUGGCAUAACUAGUGAAGUUAAAUCAAAGGGAGAAUUAAUGGAAAGUAUUAAAAGAAAAUAAAUGGUGAGUUAAUAAAUAAUUGAUAUUAAUUAUCAUUAUGAUAAUUGAGGGUAUUUGAGGUAAUAAAGUUUAUGGAAAAUGAUGGAUUGAGAAUAUCCAACUAUUUUAUAUUUAGCCCAAUAAAAAUAUUAAUUGAAAUAAACCAAUGUACAUAGAUUAUAUAAAUUCUAUGUGUAAUGUAUAAGUGAGUGUAUAUGUAUGAUCAUUUUUGGACAAAUAUCAAAUAAACCUAAGUAUGCUAAUAGUAAUACAAAAUGUUGAGUUUUAAGGGUAGUGUCCCAAAUUGUGUGUCAUUUCUCCAUACACGUGAAAUGCAAAAAGGAUAGCUAGCUAGCUUGCUUCUUCUUCUCCAAAAUCCAUAGCUUCCAAAUGAUGAAAAGGGGAGUGAGUUGAUUUGAUUUUCCACCAACUUCUCAUGAACCAUUAGUUUCUUCUUCAUUCCAUUGAGCAAAGUUCCAAUGUUGGUCAAAAAGUUUUCCUAUAAAUGAAGCAAGUUUCAUUCUUGUACUUCUUGUUGAUCACUCUGUGAAGUUCAAAAAUUUGUGUGUGUGAGUGUUGUUGAGUUGGAGAGGAAACUUGAGAUUGAAAGCAAAGAGUUUACUUCACAACUUUAGAAGGUAAUAUCCCUCUAUAUGUUAUUGAAUUCAAGUUUUGCAAAGUUCUUAAAAAAGUACUAAAAUACUUGUUUUGAGUUGAAAAGUUUAUGGUUGAAGCAUGAUAAAGUGUGUCAAUUGAUGCUAGACACUGAUAAUAUAGUCAUAUGCGAAAACAGCGAGAGUUAAACGGACCAAUUUGGUUUAGAAACGAAUUCGUAGUGAAUGAAUUCACUAAACUUUUCAAAACAUGAAAAUUAGUAUGAACAUGAGUUUUGGAUUAAGAAUUAGGUUAGUUAGGGUUUCUGUAAAUUGUUAUAAUUCUAGUAUGUUGUAGUUCUAUGAAUUACGAAUCCAUAGAAUCAAAAACGGACUAAUUUGGACAUGUAUAACUCAAAUUAUGAAGGUUAGAAAGAGGUUUGGCAUGAUAUCUCGUAGCAGGGGAAAUGAAAAUUUUCAAUUUCAACAGCUAUGCCCGCCCCGGCGGGGGUCUUGCUGUGAAAAAGGCCCGCCCCGGCGGAAGAGGUGGGGGGGGNNNNNNNNNNNNNNNNNNNNNNNNNNNNNNNNNNNNNNNNNNNNNNNNNNNNNNNNNNNNNNNNNNNNNNNNNNNNNNNNNNNNNNNNNNNNNNNNNNNNNNNNNNNNNNNNNNNNNNNNNNNNNNNNNNNNNNNNNNNNNNNNNNNNNNNNNNNNNNNNNNNNNNNNNNNNNNNNNNNNNNNNNNNNNNNNNNNNNNNNNNNNNNNNNNNNNNNNNNNNNNNNNNNNNNNNNNNNNNNNNNNNNNNNNNNNNNNNNNNNNNNNNNNNNNNNNNNNNNNNNNNNNNNNNNNNNNNNNNNNNNNNNNNNNNNNNNNNNNNNNNNNNNNNNNNNNNNNNNNNNNNNNNNNNNNNNNNNNNNNNNNNNNNNNNNNNNNNNNNNNNNNNNNNNNNNNNNNNNNNNNNNNNNNNNNNNNNNNNNNNNNNNNNNNNNNNNNNNNNNNNNNGUGUCCUGCAAUGACUUAUUUUAUCUGUUUUGGUAAAACGGAUAUAACGUUUUCAUACAAACUCCGAUUGAGGAGAUUCAAGAUGAUCCGGAACGAGAAUGAAUAGACCCUCAACUUUUGUUCUUUACAUUUUUCAUUUUGAGGUUGUUAGAAUGGGUCAAAACAGUCAUCUUUGUGACUGUUACGUAUAUGUUAUUCUAAGUUAUUAAACAUAAAUAUGUAUGAUAAUAGACAUGUCAUAUAGCUAAGAUUUCUUUACUCAUAAUGAAAUGCGUUAACAUGAUUUUCUAAAAAACACUUAAAAGUUUUUGAGAAACGAAAGUUGAUGAAAUUGGUGUCCAUUGAGUUCUGAGCUUGGACCCUAUGUACGCAUAUCAAUGGACAUGAAAUUUAGUUUUAAAGUUACCUUGCAUAUACUAGAUUGAUAUAGCUUGGUUUAAAGUGUUUUGAAAGAAAAACUUGAAGUUUUGAAAAUGAAACUUGACGAACUUUGUGUCUUUUAAGCUUCGACUUUGGGAACAUGUGAUUGUGGCCUAGUUAUGCGUGUGGAUGGACAAGGAAUGUAAUUUCAAGAUAUAUUGCACAUAAAAGGUUGUCAAGCUCGGUUUAGUAUGUGUUUUAAAUUUUUUUUAAAAGUUUUAGAAACUAACUUUGAUGAGCAUUGUAUUACUUGCAUUAUGACCUUAUAAGCAAGCAUGAUAGAGUUGUCUAUGACUUUGAACAUGAAUGAUAUGUGCACUCAACUAGUCAAGCAUGACCUAAGUUAUUUAAGCAUGUUUUAAAAGUAUGAACUAUGCUAUGUCUAUGUAAAUGAGAUAGAUACAUGUGAUCAUGCUAUUAGAGGCUUAUUAGUACCAAUAUAUAGUUUAAAAGCUUAUAACAUUGAAUCUUGUUAAAGAAAGUUGUUAAGCCUUAUUGAUUAAAAUAAAUCAUUAUGGAGCUAAGUAGUUUGAAUAUGAACUUGAAAAUAGAUCACAACCUAUUUAAUGUCAAGUACGGAUGGUUAAGAUAUACUUAUACAUGCCUAGCUAUUCAAAGAUUAGGAAGAGAAAGUGAAAUGAAGGUUUUACAAACCUAGUUAGGAAACGAUAUAAUAUUUAUUAUUAUAUUAAGAGCAUAUGAAAUGUAUGACUGAUGGAUAUGAAUCCAUGAUUAUAUAACUAUGUAGGAAUACACGCAGUGCAGAUAAGCUUUAAGCAGUUAAGUCAUAGUUGAUAAACUAUGAAUCAGGGUCUUUCAGUUCUUAUUUGAUAUAUGAAUUUGAUAAUUGUUAGUUGAGCUAUAUUAUGCUAUGAGAAUGUUGAUGUAUAUAUAUGAAAUGCAUAUGAGAUAUGUAUGAAAUUGAAAGUUGAUCUUUGAUGAUAUGCUUGUGAAGUAAAUGUCUAUGCCUGUUAUGUGAGAAGUAACAUGUGUAGUAAAUAUUAAUUGAUUAUGAAUGCAUGAACUGAGUAUGUUAUUAUAUGCUAUGUGCUGCAUGAAAACUGUUAGAAUUGCUGGGUUGUCGAGCUCACCCUUGCAAAUAACCACUUUUACAGGUUAAGGACUCACGAUAAAGAUUACGUGCUACUUGAUACAUAAAGUUCAAUAGCAUCAAAGGAGAUUUAUUUAUUUAUUUAAAUAUAUGACCUUGAACCAUGUUUAGGUUCUAGGAGAUGUACAUAAUAGUAGUUUACGAUAAGUAAUACAUGUUAAGUUGUACUAUGUGAUACAUAGAGGAAUUCGAAUCGAGAUGUAAAGAUUUUUACAGUAAUUCGAAUAGAAUGAAUCAUAACAUAAUUUGAUUCAAGGAGAUCUAAUUGAUUCAAGUUAAGACAUCAAUAAAAGAUUUUUUUUAAGAGAUUGAAAAAGUUUAAAUUAUUCUGCAUAUUUUUAUAACAUCGAAUAUGAUAUAAGACAAGAAUGGUAAAUGACCAAGAUUAGAAACUUAUAAAAGUUUGGGGUCAUUACACAGAUCCUGGCAAUAGAAAGAAUUUAUUUUCUAAAUUGUAAUAAGCUAAGUUAUAUUCAUUAAGUUAUGAAUAAAAGAUAUAAAUAGUUUGACGAUAGUAGUAUCAUGGCGGACUGGAUCCGAGGUUCGAAGGGACCCGGAUUUGGGGGCGUCACAAUCACUAUUCAAAUACAUACAUAUAUCACCUGCUUAAUAUUGUAUACAUUCUUCAUUUAUUCCACACGUGUCUCAUAAAAAAUAAUAGAAACAUCCAUUCAUUCUUCUAUAGGCCUUAACCUCACAUAUUCAACAUUUGCCUAUAAUAUAAAUUAGGAUUACUUGAGAUUUCACGUAUAUGAAAUUACAUAUUUUCACAUCUCGACUCUUUACACAAUUUAAUACUUCAUAAUAUCAUAACGUAUCUUAUAUUAUUACAAAAAAUUAAUACAACAUCCUAAUCUAUUACAUCAACAUUAUUCAUUCUUUCUAACAACCGUUUCUUUCUCUUUUAUCUAUAUCUUUUGGACCCUUUUGAUCCUUCUGCCUUUUCUAAAAAUUUGAAAUAAAAUGCAAGAGCGAACAACAGAUUUGCUUAACAAGUUUAAAAAUAGUUUAGAAUAAUAAGCACAAGUAUAAAUCCCAGUCACUGAAUUAACAUUACAGAUAAUAAUCUUAAAAAUUCUGAAACACUCAGCAUCAACAACGUAGCAUAACAAAAUGUCACUACAGGAAAAAGACUUAUCUAUAACCACCUAUUAGUGACUGUACUUGGUCGCAGAUGCAUAUCAGCGAUUGAAUGCGGUCGCUGAUAAUAGUCACAUAUAAUCUGGCCGUUGUGUGGAUCCCAACGACCACUAUUAGUGACCGAUAUAUCAGCGACCGCCCUAUAGCGACCGAUGUCGUCGCUAACCUGAGUCACUGUGAGUCAGGUCUCAGGGGUGACGUGGCCCAAUUUUUGCGACCAACAUUAUCGAUCGACGUGGUCACUAAAAACCUCAAGUCAUUUUUUAGCGGUCGCUGAUACGUAUUAGUGACCGCCUGCGGUUGUUGAUACUUAAAUUUUUUUUUUUAAAAAAAGAUUGUUUUGGGGAUUUAAUUCCCUACACAUAUUAGUGUCUAUUUGUACCUGCUUUAUAUCUUAAAACACAGCUGUAUCAAUAAAUAAACCAACAUCCAUACAAAUACAUCGAUCCAUAUAUAUACACAUCCACACAUGUAUAAACAUAUAUAAACAAAUACCAUCCGACUAAAUUUUUUAUACAAAUAAAAUGUCAUAACAUACAAUAUAAACUCCGUACAUUCAUUCGGUAAAAAAAGAAUAAUACAAAUGUUCACAUAAAAGAGAAGAGAACAAUACAAAUGUCUGCAUGCAUCAAAUAUCGUCCAAAUGAAGUUGUAACAAAAUAUGUUAAAUAUAAAGUAUACAUGUUGAUACUGGCGUGACUUAUGCAAAGCAAAAAAUGACCAUUUAUGAUGUAUUACAAUAACAAAAAGCUAAACAUAAAUAAAAAACUAAACAUGUAUUAUUGAAUGUAAAACUAAACUAAGCAUCAAAGCUAAACAUAAAGGUAAACAAUGACAAGAUUACCUCGACAUCAUUAGCAUGUUGUUAUGAUGUUUUCACCACUACAUAAGCUAACUCUUUAGGACUCAGAGAUUGUAAAUAUCCGCCAAUUAUAAAGUCGGUCGUCGUUAAUAAAGCUUGUCCCCAAUACUCCUUGAGAAGUGUAAUCUAGUUAUGGCUCACCUCUCCAUGAAAUCAAGAAACAUCCUCGGUUUGAAAGCCCUAUGCAUUUCAGUUGUUACUCCUGUUUUUGCAAAAUCAACUGCCAUAGAGUGAAGGGUUGCCAACUGAAGAUAUUUUUUACUCAUAACUUUAUUUGACUCAAGGUCUGUAUGUACCAAAUGUGCAAUAGAGAUUGUACCUAAGGUAUCAUUAAUCAGAUAAUUAAUUAACAGAGAACUUUUGAAUUUCCUGCAAAAUUAGACUUAUUGGAAAAUCUCAGACUAUUAUGAACAUAAAUAAAAUAAAAUUUAGCUUUAAACUACCUCUAAUGUCAUAUCAUGAUCCAUCAAGCGUGGUCUUCGUCUAGUAUAGUUCAUGGGGGGGGGGGUACAGUUCAACGUGGGAUGAGAUUAUCAUCCCAACUUAUGAAAUUGAGCUCAACCAUAUAGACCUAGCUCUUCCAUUCCCAAAUCAACUGCUACAGUUCAUUGUAAUUGAACUAAUUAAGGAAGUAACAGUUCAAUAGAUAGAGAGGAAAAGCGGGCCAGGACUGGAAACUGGAAGGGAGUUAAUGAGAAUACAAAGUGUCACCAUUCUUAGAUGUUUCUUUUGCAUUUUUUGUGUAUAGACAAAUAUAUAAAAAUAAAUGUGGCUAUUUUUCAAUACACUCAUUAUUUCUUGAUGUAAAUCAUAUAUUCUCGAUGCAGAAGAUCAACUAGACACUUUCUAUGACGCCCCUAAAAUUAGUCCACACAACCCAUUUUGGGUCGCCAAAUACACACUACAGAAUCUAAAUACAAAUCUUUCAAUUUAUAACUAUUAAAAUGUUGUGUAAAAUACAACAACACAUAAACUGGGAGUUUCAAUAAAAAUAACAGUACUCACACUCCAAACUAAUGAUACUUUACAUAAGGGUAAAAUGCAAAGCAAAUCUGACGUCAGCAUUUUUUAUUUUAUUUUACAUAGUGGACAGGCUGACAUGGCAAAUAUUGAAUUUACCUAGCAAAAAUUAUGUUUGCUGCCAAGAUUUGAACUUGAGACCUCUAGCUUAAAACUUGAACCCAAUAACCAACUAAGCAAACAAGACUAGUUGUUAUAAUUUUGCAAGGAUUAAUAUUUAUAACUGAACAAAUUAUUUUCCCCAAUAAUAACAACAACAACAACAACAACAACAACAACAACAAUAAUAAUAAUAAUAAUAACAAUAAUAAUAAUAAUAAUAAUAAUAACAAUAAUAAUAAUAAUAAUAAUAAUAACAAUAAUAAUAAUAAUAAUAAUAACAAUAAUAAUAAUAAUAAUAACAACAAUGAUAAUAAUGAUGAUGAUAAUAAUAAUAAUAAUGAUAAUGAUAAUAACAAUAAUAAUAAUAAUAAUAAUAACAACAACAACAACAACAACAACAACAACAACAACAACAAUAAUAAUAAUAAUAAUAAUAAUAAUAAUAAUAAUAAUAAAAGACGUUAUUAAAGACAUCAAAGACUCCUACAAAGACAUCGGAUUAUUAUUCAAAUUAUAAUCCAUCAAAGACAUCAGGAAUAGUGGGGAUGUUUAUUCAAAUUUUAUUUUUAUUUUAUUAUUAUUAUUAUUAUUAUUAUUAUUUUGAAAAACUCCUACAAGAUCUGUUAGUUAUAAUCAGUCCAGAACAGAUCCAAAAUUCAGCCAAAAAUCCCACAACAUUUAUAUGAUUCAAAAUCCCACAACAUUUAUAUAAUCCAAGGACAGAGUAACAGUUUUAUAGAUCUAGAUCUAUAUCAACUAAACCCAUAACAGACUAAAUUAACACUCAAAAUAAGAUCUAGGCCUCCGUCGACUACUCCGUUACCAAAAGAAUCGCCGGCGAAACGACGUCCCACAAGAUCCGCCUCUUUCAUCUUUCAUCUUCCUCUCCAAUCCCAAUUAAAUUGAAAAUACAAAACAUUAAUUAAAUUAAAAGGAAAAAAAUAGCCUUCAUCAGAAUCCACCUCUUUCAUCUUCCUGGAUGGUGUUUUCAGUUCAGUCUUGUCCAUCACCUGUGGAAAGAAAAAAUAAUAAAGAGAAGAGAAAGGCACUAGUGGUCCGGUUAAGAACACGUGAUUAAUGACUGCUACAACAUCUCUGACGAACUUCACAAGAUUUUCUCCUAUAUGUUCACCUGUAAAUGAGAAACUCUACUUAUGUUUCGAUUGUCAUAAUAUUUUGAAAUUGUACAAGUAAUUGAUGAAUUCUCGGUCGAAUUCGACUUGGGGUUUUGUUCAACCAUUUUCAAACUUACUAAAUCUCCCCUUUUAUUUUAUUAUAAUUGUUUGUAAGCUUUUAUAAUUGUUUGUAAACUUUUAUAAUUUGUUUUAUAAUUUCUGGAAAUGUCUAAUAUUUUGAAUAUGGGAUAUUUUUAAGUUUUAAUUUUAAGCUUAUUUUUAAAUAUAUUCUUUUUAAAUUUGUAAAUUAGUUUUAAUUUAAAAUUUUUAAUUUUAAUCUAUAAAUUUGCUAAUGUUAAUUGUUUAAUUUUUUAAUUAAUGUUGAUUGUUUAAUUUGUUAUCCUUUUAAUAUUAUGUCGAGGGAAAUGAACUGAUUUAGUAUAAAUCUUAAUUCUUUUGUUAAAAUAAUUGAAAGUUUUAUGUAGCUCAGGUGGUUUAAUGGUCAAAGUUUCAAAAUUGAGAUUUUGGGUUCGAUUCUUGGGGAACUAAGUUUUUUAACAAUUAAUUGAAAAAUGCAUAGAUAAGUAGCUCCACAUGACAAAAAUAUCCACGUCAUCGGUGCCACGUGUGCCACGUAGGCAGGUCAACGCACCUGGGGGCUCAAUAUCCAAAUUUUCAAACAGAAAAAGGGCUCAAUUUGCGUUGACAAAAAAAAAAGGGCUCAAUACCCAAAAACACCUAAAGUUCAGUGAUCACAUUUGCAUUUACAUAAAGGUACAAUCAAUAUAACGAUCGAGAAAUUUGAAAUUUAAUUUUAAUAUUUAUGGAAUUAAAUAAAUAUUUAAAAUUAUUGAGGAAAAUAAAUAUUUGAUGAAUUGUCAUAAAUUAAUUUAGUAGCUAAAUUAAUUAAUGUUAAUUGAAUCGAGUAAUGAUAAUUUUAUUUGUUGGAUUUAAUUUAAGGAGAUAAUUAAAUUAAAUCAAUUGCUUAAUAUUUAAGAAAUUAGUUAAAUUAAAUGAAUUGUUUAAUUUAAAGGAAAUAAAUAAAUUAAAUAUAGUGAUGUGUCUAAUUUAUUAAUUAAAUUAGAUAUAUAAUUAUUUAUUAAUGAUAAUAAGAUUUUUAUUAUUAGUAUUAUAAGUUAUUUAAAUUAACUAAACUAAGUUAUUUAAAUUAAUUAACUAAAAGUGUGAUAUAAAACUAUGUAAUAUAAAUGUUAUUAAAAUAAUUUAGUUUGGGGAAAGUUGGUUAGCCAAACCAGGCCUUAUGGCCUUUGGCAUUAUUCCAACUGACGAGUCUUUUUAUUUUUCUAACGUAAGGGAACGUGGGAGCAGCUAGCUUAUAUUUUUCCUACGCAUAUUAUUUUCUAAGGCUAGCAUUCAGUUUCUUUUAUUAUUCACGUAUUUGACUAAGGAGGAAGAGCAGAGUUGAGAGAAAAGAGAGAGCGUAAGAAUUGAGAGAGAAGAAGAAUUACAAGGAACUUGAGAGAUUGAGAGGAAACCUAAGCAAUUUCAGUGUUAACAAGGGUUAAACAUAUUGAAGGUAUUCUAUCUAACCCUUGUAUUAUAUAUAUAUAUAUAUAUAUAUAUAUAUAUAUAUAUAUAUGAACUUACGGCAAAUUUGUUAUGUUUUGUUAAUUGUAAUUCUUUCAAAAUUGUUGUGUAACUAAAGUAUGGUGGAUGUGUGGUAUAAUGCUAGAGUUUAUGUUUAAAACGAGAAGUUUGUAUGCUAAAUUCGUUGACAGUAGGAAGAAAAUUUUGACAGUAUAUGUGUUUCAUAUGGUUCAUGGAAAAGUAUUAAUUUUGAUGGCCAAUUCUUAUGUUAAACUAUAAAUUUAAGCUUGUAUAUGUUAGUUCGUUGAGAUACGAGCAUAACGUAAUUUGAAGGAGGUGAUUUGGUCAAAUAAUGAAUUCACAGUGAUGAUUUUUGGGAUAGACUAUCAAAAAUGGAGUUUUAUAUAAAAAACAUGAAAAUUGAGAAAUUAAAAUAGUUUUAGUUGUUGUUAAUUUGUGCUAAGUGGUUGAAUAUGUUAGCAAUCAUGUUUAUGAUAGUUGUAUAUUUAUUUUUCAUGUUGUUAUCACCGUUUGAUGGAUGAAAUUGGUGUUUGUUGGGCUAAAGUCGGCUACUGUUCAUUAGCCUUCUCUGCGUCUGUCUGAACACCGACGCAACUGCGCCGGUGCCAAGGCAAAAAACGACGCAGCUGCGCCGGUCCCAGGCUUAAGUAUGGCGCAGCUGUGCCAUACCCUGGUCUGAGACAGUGAAGUCUGCUUAUUUGCAGAUCAUGUGUAAUGGACUUAUAUUAGUUUAGCAUGCAUGUUAAUGAUGUUGAGGCAUAAUAUAAACUACAAUAACAGAUUGUCAUGCGUUGUUAUAUAAAGUGUAAAAGAAUUUAAGUGAUUACUUGAAUAAGUUUUGUAAUGAACCAAAUGUGACGUUUUCAAAAGUUAAAUAUAAAUGAUAAGGUUUAUAGUGUGAUUGCAGAAUUGUUAAGGUGUUAACCAACGUGGUUAGGUGCUAGGUUAGGGUUAUGACCUAAAUGUUGGUUUAAACCCUAAAAGCUAAUAUUCAUACAAUUAAUUGUUGUUGUGAUUUCAAUGAUAUGUGUAGGGUAAUUGGAGAUUAUCUUACAUUUGUGUAGCUUACAAAAAAGGCAAGUUUUCUAACUCUACCUUGUUAUUAUUGAGCAAGUUCUUAAAUCUUAACUCUUUACAUUGAGCAAAACUUUCUAACUUCAUUAUUUUCAUAUUAAAUGCAAGUUUCCAUUCCUAAAUUAUUAUUGUGCAAGUUCCUAACAUUCUUUAUGAAGUUGAGCAAGCUUAACCUAUCUUGCGUAUGUUUGUACAAGCUUAUAUAACCUAAUUCGUUACGUUGAGCGAGAUUUAGUUUCCUAAUUAUUAUUUAAAGCAUAUAUUGUUCUAAAACAUUGAUUCAAGGGAGAUUGUUUUAACUCUUCUAUAGCGCUUUGCAUGUAUAUCAUGUUUACUCAAUUAUAUAUUAUUGUUAUUCAAUAUUUGACUUUGAUAACCUUGUUCAAAGCUUUAUCGUUGUAUUAAACCUUCAAUUAGUAAGAAAACAUUUAUUAAUUGAAUUAAUCUAUAUUCGAAUAGUGUUCUAAAAUUCUAGAAACACUGAUAAGCUAGUUCCAAACUAAACUUUCUUUAGUGCGGAAAUUCUAAAUCCAAACUGAGACGAACAACCCUAACAUAGGGGAUUUUGUACGUGUAACAUUUAGAUGUUUGUACACAAUACAUGGUACAAAGGGCUGAUCCCCCUAAGUACGUUAAGAAGGGUCCGUAUAGUCUAAAUGACUGUUAAGGUUGGGUAAUAAUACCUAAGUACCGGGGACAUAGUCCAUGGUCUUAAGACCCUCAGAUAAUUAAAGUUCGAACUUUUUUUCUAGUUUGAUUUGUAGAACAAAUUCCUUAUUGUUCAGCUUUUGUUGUUCACUCUCAUGUUACUACCAUUGCUACUUUCUAUAUUAGUGAGCAUUUGUUUGCUCACUCUUGCAAUUAACACUGUAGCUAAAGUGGAGAAAGUUGAUGAGUCAUCGACUAGCAAAGGCAAGGGCAAGAUGUCCAAAUGAUGAAGACUUAUGAGAAUUUUAUUUUAAUGAAUUAUGUUAAAGACUUGUUUUAAUAUGUGAUGUAUUCCGCAAACUUAUGUAAUAAUUUUAAGGUUAGAUUAUCUGGGAUUUAUUUUGAGAUGAUGAUGUAACCCUUUAAUGGGGAAAAUUAUUGUUUAAGUUAUUUAAAAUUAUGUCUUUAUCCUUUAUUAUGGGUAGUUAGAUGUAAUAGUUUGUGAUAAGUGAGCACCAAAUCCUGUGGGAAUGGAGUACCUGGAUUUGGGGGUGUCACAAUCAAUAACUAUUUUAGGAAUUAAAAUUUUUAAAAAAUGCUCAAGGAAGCCUUCAUACAUGGGAGGCCAUGCAUUUAUGUUAUGAUAGAUAUCAUUUGACUUGAGAAUUAACCUUGGUUGACUCAAUAGACCCCAAAGAAGAACGAGAAUAUUACUAUCCUGUUCAUUCCAAUGGUGUGUAUCUUUUUGCCAUAUAAUUAUCUCCAUUGACUCAAACUGAGGAUUAUAUUCUAACCAUACUCCAAGAUUAUAUAGAUAAUGUUCAUAGAUAUAGUCAGCAAGUGGAUGCACACAACUAUAUCUUAUGAUAACACGGAUUUGUAUGUGGUUAAACAUCAUAUAUGAUAGUAUAUGAUAUAUGAUAUGUCCUCCCAGUAUAAUUAUGUCCUCCUCAUUAUAAUGGUGUGCAUUUUUGAUGCUUCAAAAGUCGGAUUCUCAUCACCUUAUUGUUGUUCACCAAAAUUAACUAUUAAAUGACGUAUAAAAUACGACACACACAUUUUAAGUCCUCAAUACAAUUAUAUAUUAUCAUGCUAUUUUAUAAUGUAUUGAGAAACUUCAACAGACACAGACUAUAACUCUAUUCCCCUGUUAUCCCUGCUCAAUCCAGCUACACUUUUAUUACCUGAAAGAAAUUGUGAAGCAAAAGGGUGAGCACAAAUAGACCAGUAAAGAAUAUUAUGACUAAAGAUAAUUAAAUUAUCAAUAGUCGUCAUCAGUAAUAAUAUAUAAAAUAUUUAGAACAUAUGGUAGAUGAUAAAAGUUUUCAAGCAUAAUUACAGCGGAAUCAACAAUCUAUUAGAAGAGUCAAGUAGAACAUAAUGUCUACUAUCUCCUCCAAAUUAAAAGUCCAUCAUUAAUAUUUCAUUCCUGUAAUACCCAUCAAUGGUUCUUUGUUGUACCCAAAACAAAGAGAACUUUUAUCACCUUUCUUCACCUGAACCACCAAAGAUUAUAGUUAAAAUCAUAAUUCAUGUUUAUAAUAAUGUAAAUCAAUAGUUUCUCCUUGCCACAAAGGGUUAAUAGAACUUUCACUCAAUGUUCUUGUCAUAAAGGCUAAAGACACUCAAUAAUCAUAUCGUCUUUACACCUUGCACUAAAGACAUUCAAUUGUAACAAUAAUUGUCAUGAUCAUACCAAUCAAUUAUCUAUCUUUGCACUACGUGCCAAAGAUAUUCAACUGUAAUAUCAGUGGUCAUGAUCAUACCAAUCAAUUGUCUAUCUUUGCACUACGGGCCAAAGAUGUUCAGCUGUAAAACUAAUAAUCAACAGUCCAUCUUUUCACUAUGAACCAAAGAUAUAUAACUGUAAAAUCAAUAAUCAACAGUCCAUCAUUGCACUACGGGCCAAAGAUAUACAACUGUAAAAUCAAUAAUCAAUAGUUUAUCUUUGCACUACGGGCCAAAGACAUAACCUUGUAAAUCCAAUAAUCAGCUGUUCAUCUUUGCACUACAGGCUAAAGACAUACAACUGCAACACCAAUGAUCAUGAUUAUACCAAUACACAAUUCCGUUCAUGGUUAUACCAAUACACAAUUCAUGUUCAUAAUCAUACCAAUCAAUAGUUCAUCUUUGUACUAUGGGCCAACGAUAACUUUCCAACAUAAAUUUAAGUCUGAGGAUGAUAACAAUGAUAUAAAGAAUGAAUCAAGUGAGAUCAAGAAUAAAUAUUAAAAAUUUAUAAUUCAAUUUAUCCAAAGUUCAGGAAUGUCCAAAUUGUUAACAUGAUAACUAAUUGUAGAGUAAAAUUCAAGAAUGAUAUUCAUGUAUCAAAAAUAAUUUGGACAGAAAAAAAUAAAUUUUGUCGUGAAUAGUACCCCGAAUAUUCAAUACACUCAUUAUUUUUUGAUGUACAUCAUAUAUUCUUGAUGUAGAAGAUCAACCACACUUUCACUCAAUAGAAAUAUUAAUCACCUGAGUCUCUCUGAAAUUUUCAACUACUCCAUGAGAGUACAUUGCAAGCAAAGGUUUUUAGCGAUUAAUUCCUAGUGAAUUAAGAGUUCAUUGCUUAAAAGGGUUGUUUCCUUGAGAGAUGAACACUGAAAACCUUUGCAAGCAAUGAACGCUCGGGGUUGGGAGUGUGGUCAACUUACAGAGUUAGAUCUAUGAGUCCCUAACAUCUCUAAUUGAAAUUUCUAAAUUAUCCGGUCCUUGUAUAUUUUUCGGUGGACAGUUUCUACCAAAACAAGACAAAGCUGAAAAAACCGAAAAACCCUACUGCCCUAAAAUUUUUGUGGGUUGUUUGGGCCACUUAAACAUUGAAAUAAAUUUAGGCCUUUUGGGAAAUGAAAAUAUAUGAUAUAAUGAAACUCUGGUCAGAAGAUGAACAAAUUCCUACAUCAGACGAAGGAGUUAUGACCAAUUCAAUAUUAGGAUUUUUCAGAUAAAAACUGUCAUAACUUGAGUUCUACAACUCUGAUGACCACAAAAUUAAAAAUGGAAAUUCAUGUUAAUAUGUAUAAAAUUCUUCCAAGACUUGGGAAUUUUUGGAGUUGAGCAUGAUAUAGUUCAUUUUACUAAGUUACGUACUAAAAUGGCUCUUUGAAAAAUAAGAAAAUUGAAAAAUUGUAAUACAAUUAUUUUUUUGUGGAAAAUAUAUAGGUAUGUGUGUCCAGGCAGAGAAAAAAAAUAAUAUAAUGGUUAAGGAGGCCUAAUGAAGAAAAUAAAGUUACGAGAAGGUAAAAUAAUUACUUACCGACAAGUCUGGAAUUAUUAAAAUAAUUUAUAUCGGCUAGAAUAUGUUGACAUUUGACGUAUGAGUUUAUGUAAAGGUUAAUCACAUAUUUUUAUGAGAAUCUUAUAAUUAUCACGUUUAUGUUUGUUUAAGUCGAAAGAUUAAUUAUCAGAAUAGGUUACGAUAAUUACCGGCGAUAUAUAAUUAUUAUAAAGUGAUGAUUAGUUUAAUCAUAUAAAUUGUCAUGAAUAAUGUAGCUUAUCAUUUGAAGGAAGUUAUCAUUGCGUUUCCACGGGGUAGAACCUCCUCAGGGGGGGGGGGAGACCCGGGGAAAUCCCCUGAGGGGCAUCCGGAGCGCCGGAGGAAAGAAGCGCAAGGGCGUGAAGCUUUCCGUGGACAGGACAGGGUCCGUCAACUAGCUUAGCUACCGAUUGGGGGAUGCUUUCACCUUGAAGGUAUUAACGGGCUUGAGCCAGGCCACGCAAGCAAAGGAAAGAUUAAUUAUAGNNNNNNNNNNNNNNNNNNNNNNNNNNNNNNNNNNNNNNNNNNNNNNNNNNNNNNNNNNNNNNNNNNNNNNNNNNNNNNNNNNNNNNNNNNNNNNNNNNNNUCUGCUCUUUCCGGUAAGUGAGUAGGGCCAGUCCCACACGAUUAGCAUAGAUAAGACAAGUCAGGUAGGAUUGGUCGGAGAAGGAUUGGACAUUUCCAUUGAUCAGCUCAUCCAAUCCAGUCUAUGAUCAGGCAAGGGGGCCUAAAAGUAGACGUAACUAUAGGCUUAAGCUCGCUUAAAUGCAAUUUAUCCUUAGGCCGAAUACCUAGUUGAGAGGGGUCCCUAAUGUGAGACCCUUCGUCCAUUCAUUCAGGAUCAAAAGCGGGCCUAAUUGAAUCAUCUCAUCGAGGAUUGCAUGUGAAAAGAUCGGAUCUUCGAAAUCCCCAAUCGUUCGUUACUGAACCUAAAAACUCGCCGCUUCUCAUGUAAAGUAGUGUUCUCGCUAGCUGGAACGGAACUCUCAAAUGGAGGAACAAGCGUAGGCCUUCUUUGAGUAUAGCUUCAAGUAGCUCUAAGAAGUUUACGUCUCGGUUCGGCACUCGGCUUUCUGAAGUUCUUCCAUUCCAGGGCGUGAAGCUUUCCGUGGACAGGACAGGGUCCGUCAACUAGCUUAGCUACCGAUUGGGGGAUGCUUUCACCUUGAAGGUAUUAACGGGCUUGAGCCAGGCCACGCAAGAAAAGGAAAGAUUAAUUCUAGGCCAGUGAAAUGAAUUAGAUGGAAAAACACCGAUACAGAUAAGUUUUUCAGAACUUUUUUUUAUGUGUAAACUUAUUAAUUGUUAUGGGGAAGUACUUUAUGUAUUAUAUGUAAUUCUUAUGAAUUGUUUAAGAGGUGCACUAUGUGUUUUAGUGUGAUACGAAUUUAUUGAAAUUAAUUGAUGAUUGAAGUUAGUUUAGUUAUGAAAACUUACUAUAUUGUGAUAUGAGGAAUAUGAUAUGUGAUGCCCCCAAAUUCGGGUACUUGAAACCCUUAUUUAGUGCUUCAUGAUAUCAAGUAUUCAACAUAAUAUAAUAUCAAACAUAAUAAAUUUAUUACAUCAGAGUACUUCUAAUCCCAGGUACGUAGACCUAUAAGUGCUUAUUACAUGAUAGUUAAAUAUUUACAACAUAUAUAAACUAUCUACUACAUAAUAUUCCAGUUAUGACAUAACUUUUCCCUUUCCCCUGUCCUUACUAGACCCCUCUGCCUGAGCCUUAUUAGCUGAAAACAUUUAUAAAAAAAAGUAAGAAUGAGCAUUCAAUUGCUCAAUAAGUAAUAACAUUCUUUAAUAGCUCAACAAUAAAUAAAUGUUUUCUUUGAAGCAUGCUUUGACAGUGAAACAAAUAUGUAAACCAAAUAAAUCUUAAAUUAUCCAUACUCUUGGAAUCAUCAUAUCAAUUUUGAAUAGCUGAGAGGUCAUAAGACCAUGAACAUGAAUUUUUUUUCUUGAAAAGGUUCUAUCAGAAAUUUAUAUAUGAACCGUCUUAUCUUAUGGGCAUGGUGGGUGAUCAGCCCUUUAUGCCCUGUAUUGAUCAAUAUUCUUAUCCAAAAUAAUUUUUAUGUUCAACGUCACCACUCCUAGAGUGAAAUAAAAAUAUCCCACAAUAUAGUUGGAUAGCUUAAAUCAUGGCACAAUAAUAUUUUAAGAAUUAUUAUAAAGAAAUUGAAAUAUUUUACAUCUGUGUUUGGCCAGAACAAAUGGCUCAGACUUCCUUGUAAUCUGUUCAUGCAUAUUGAAUUUCAUUUGAUAUACAUGAAAAUACAUAACCCAAUCUUUUGAAGCUGAUUGGAAUAAAAAGGUUAUUUAACCUUGUAUUAUUCAUAAAGAAUGAGAGACAGUUCAAAAUUUAGAGAACAUAUCCAUAUAUGAAUAAUCCCAGAAUACUUGUGUUAGUUCCCAGUAGGCGCGAUAAAUAUCUAGAAGGGGGGGUUGAAUAGAUAAUUAAAUCUUUUUCUUUUAAUCUUUUUAAGUUGAUGGUAUUCAAUGCACAGCGGAAUGAGUAUAUGUGAAAAACCUUCUGUUAUAUAUCUUAAGUUAAUGAGAUUGAGGCAGUUAUGACAGUUAUAGCAGAUAUUGCAGUUAUAGCAGUUAGUGAACACAAUAGUUGUAAGUGGUUCAGAGCACUAAAAGCUCAUAGUCCACUCUUUUACUCCUUGAGUAGGAAAUCCACUAAGGAUGUCUGUUACACUUCUUGAAUCUCACAGAUUCUUUCUAGACCAGCAGUCUAGGUACUUCUUAGUUCACUCUUGAACUCUUCAAGUCCAGCAGACUUGGUCUCUCAUAGUUCACUUAGAACUCUUCAAGUCCUUCAGACCUGGAACUCUUACUUCAGUUGAUUGAAUGUUGUUUAGAUCGUGAUUGAUGCUAUUCAGUUUCUAGUAAGCACUUGUUUGAAAGAACUGAAUAGCUGAGCAAGCUUCCUUUUUCUCAGAUCGUAGAGUUGAGCGUUGAGUGUUCUUAUGCAUUUUUUUUGUUUAAUACUUGCUUCUUCUUUCUUAUCUGUCUUUGAUCUGUAUAUAUGUGAUCUUGAAAUCUAUCCGUUGAAGUCAUCUGAUGAGCCAUUAAAUGCAUUUGACAUUUCUGAGCUUUGAUGGAGACUUUUUUGCACAUCUUCUGAAUUACACUCUAGCCCACUGACACAGUAGACUGCUUUUUCCCCUAACACCUUAAAAGGUGUUUUCCUCUGCCCAAUGGUCCUUUUCUUAGCUUAUUGAGUACGUUUCUUUUGAUCAAUACUAAGGAUAUCUUUUGUACGUUGGGACUGGUGAGAGCUUCAACGUUCAAAACCCAUUCCAUAUUUGUUGGAGUCCAUCUUCAGAUGAACGAUAGGGCUUGAUGUUUCUGACACAAAACAGAUGACACUCUACUAUCAAUAUCAUAGUGUCUUCUCAUAUUGGUGCCUGUUCGUAAGAGAUCACUACGAUUUCUCACAAGGAUUUUCACACUAUGUUCUUCACUUACUCGUCUUGCAAACUCUACAUUUUCGAGAGCACACUACGAUAUUUUAACACUACGAUCUUCACUUGCUCGUCUUGCAGAUUCUGCAUUUUCGAGAGCACACUACGAUCUCUAGUUUCGGCAAAAGUCUGGACCACACUUCGAUUCGUGGAGAGGCCCUUCAAGGCAGAUACACUACGAUCAUCUCAGCACUACGAUCCUGCCUUAGCUUCUGCAUUCUAUUGAUCAACCGGAUAGACUGCGAGUCUAUCUAUUUCUUUCUAGCCAUAGAUCAACCUAACAGAUUUGAUCUCUUUAUCUAUACAAGUGAACAUUAAAGACUAAGAUCAACCUAACACUUUUGAUCUAUCACUAAGUCCUUGUACAUAUAUUCUUUGAAGGACUUUACAUAAUCAUGAGUAGUUUCAUAAAACAUCAAAUCACAAUAUGCAUUCUUCCAACAAUCUCCCCCUAUUUGAUGUUGACAUAACCAAGGAGAUUUGUUGUCAUGAUUAUAAAGUUUUAUAUGCAGUUGCAGAAAAAUAAACAUGACUUAGCAUUUCAGUGAGCAGCUGAAAUUUUUAAAGAAUAAGCAUGAAUUUAUUGAUGUAUGGAGACAAAUUUUACAUUUAAGAAUGACUACAUCAAUACAAUUUGAAAUUCAACUUAUCUCUAUUUCUUUGGCCUUUUGCUUCUUGGAGGAUUUGCAUAUUCCUCAGCUCUCCUCUUUCUGCUUGCUUCAUCUCUUCUGGCCAUAUCUUCCAGCUCACUUGGGCUUAGCCUUGGAUUGUGAUCAUGUCUAUUCAUGAAUGCAGGAUCUCUAAUUGGCAUUCUUAGACCUGUUGUUGUUACCGUAUGAGAGCUGGUGGCUGGCCCUAGACUCCUUAAGGGUUGAGCCAUUAAUAUUUCCUGCUGAUCAGAUCAUUGAGUCUGAUGGCUGGAUUGUGGAGUCUGCUGGUGGAUUUUCCUUACAGAAGGAUUCCUUGAGGAUUGAGGUUGGAGACCUCUACCUUUUCCUUUGCCUCCUGAUCUCCUCCUUUACCUUUAUUCUCCCCCUUUAUGUCAACAUCAAGGGUUCGAAUGUCAUCUGAAAGACGAUUAAGGCCUUGAACAAGCUCGUUGAGCUGACUCUUGGUCUGAGCAAUGUCUUCUCUAUUUUCUUUGAUUAGAGCUUCAGACCUAGCUUCCCUUUGCUGAAGGAUGGAGAGAAUGUUGUCUGUUUGCUCGCCAUUGCUGACAUAGAAUUGUUGAAAUUCUUUGACAGCAGUCUGAAGAUUUUGGAUGCUUUGUAUCAUUAGUUGGUUCUGAGAUUCUUGAGUUUUCUAUAGAAUCAAGACAACAUCCCGAUGUCUUUUAGCUGUGAGGAAGUGAAUAUCAUCCCUGUCCUUUAUGCUUUGUAGCAUUUCUUUGAUAAUCUCUUUGAGUGUUUUAGACAGUUCGGAGCUCAGGGAGCUUGGAAGAUUGUUUGCAGCAUUGAUCAUUGAUGUCAAUCUUAGCUGUAUCAAUGCAGUAUGAUCUUCAAGGCUCUCAUCUAGUUUUUUGAUCACUUUCUCAGACAUGGCUGACAAAUCAGCCUUUGUGGAUAGUUCUGAUAGGAAUUCAUCUAGAUUUGGAAUCUGUGAGGGAGGUGGCGUGCUCUUGAAUUUAUAUUGCAGUGAGUAGAGAGAAAGUUCAAGAUUGAAGCAUUCAUUUCUAGAUGAGGAGGGAAUAUCUGAAGGAGGGGCCUGUGUUUGGAUGUUGGAGCUUAGUGACUCUACGAUUUGUGGUGGAUACUCUACCAGGGGUCUAGAGUGAGGGAUCGUAGAGGUAGUAGGCUGAGUGAGCAUUAGGGAGUUAAUCUUAUUUGGUUCCUCAGUUACAGAAUUUUGAGAUUCUGUAACUAGAAUUGAUUCAGUUGAUGAAGAAUUACUUCCAACCAUUGCGGGAAUUCAUAGAAUUGAUUAAAUGAGGGUGGUGGCAAGUGAUUAAUUCUGACAGGAGUGGGGAUAUAUAAUACCUCAAGUGUGUUCUCUGAGGAAGGGCUGUUGGAGAGAAGCUUCUUGGCAAAAUUGAAUUUCCCUGGGAAUCCAUUUGCAAGUACUGAGAUAGCUGGAUACUCUUUGAAACUCCAGAACAUGUGAUCCCAAGAGUUCAGAAUUUGAGCUCGGUGGAAAGGCAUCAUAGGAAGAUAUGCAAAUAGUUGCUCAUAGGUGGAUCUUCUGUGCCCAUGAAUGCCUACAGCUAUAAUCUCAAUCUCAUCAUCUUCUUCUCUGUUUUCACUAGAGGAUUCCAUUAUGUCGAUUGCUUUAGGUUCUUCAUUAUCUCCUCCAGGAAUUUCUUUUUCAGCUAUUGAGGUGUCAUGAUCCUCCCCCUCAGCUUGAUCAUUCUUUUGAAAUGUCAAUAGCUCCCCCUCAACUGGAGCAUCCUCUGGUGGAAGAUCUUUAGGCAUCUCCCCCUCAGUAUGAGCACCUUCUAUCAUUAGAUCUUUAGGUGUCUCUCCCUCAGCAGGAGCCAUGACUACUUGACAUUCACUUGCUGGUUCCUUUUUAGCACUCAGUUCUUUUGCUUCCCUUCUUAGCACUUCUUCAUUGGCAAGAAUAUACUUCUUAACUAGUUUCCUUCUUGGCCUUUUAGGCUGUGCUACAGCCUCAGGACUCUCUUUAGUUGUGUCCUUCAGAUCAGCUAAGAUAUUUGAUGCAGUUGCUUCCUUGUUUGGUCUAGGCUCUACGAUCGGAGGAGACUUGACGAUCGAAGAGACUUGACGAUCGAAGAGGCUGAUGGCUUUUUACUUUUGUGGCUGGUCUUACUCAUCUUCAGCAACUGAGAUAUAGUUGCUCUAUCUUCUUCUGCCUCUGCUUGCUGUUCCUUUCUCCUUAGGAUCCUUAGAGUCUCAAUUUCUGAGGACUCUACAGGCUUGUUGGUGGUGGAUCCUUGAGGUUCUUCUGUAGUUCUGGCUUUCCUUUUCCCUUUGCUCUUUCUGAUUAAAGCAAUGGGUUCUCCCUGGUUAGUUUCUUCUUCUUCUUCCUCAGUUUCCUUGACAACAGACAUAUUCUCUGGCACUCCUGUUCCUUUUAUCUCACCAGUUCGACCACUGGAUUCAGACAUCAACUUCACAUUUUCAGCUGGAUUUCUCUUCCAGUUUUCAAACAACUGUUGGGUCAUUCGUCGAUUUGGGUUUAUGGCUUCUCCUUCAUCAUCCUCAAUCAGGUCACCAAGAGUAGCCUAUAGGAUAAUGAUGAUAAAUCGUCCGUAGAGCAUCUUCUGAGAGCUCUUUGUCUUCUUGGAGCUAACCAACCAUUUUCUAAUCCAUUCAAGUAAUAAAGCCCCAUAGUUUAGUUAAAUUUUAUAGCAUAUGGAAGUCAUGAGUUUGAGUUGUAUUUCAUUCACAGAGUCAUGACCUGAGCUUUUACAACAUAUGCAUUUUCCAACAAUGUUAGCCAAAAACUCAUACCUCUAUGGAAACUCCUUCUUUUUGUAUCCUUUGACAGAGGGUGAUUUCUUGUGAUGCAUUUUCUUGAGACCUUUAUGGAAGUCUAUUCCAUCUAAGGAUGGAUACCCUUCAGAUUUGAGCCCUAGGGCUAGAUUGAUGUCUUCAGCUCUUAAUUUGAUUUGGACGUUCCUUACUUUCAUGGUGAUGGUGUUGUUUUCAAACACUCCGUUAUUUUAGAAUUCUUUUACCAGCUUUGGGUAGAUCAAUGUGUCAGUACCCAAGGCUUCUUCGAGACCUGCCUUCUUUAGUAGCGACAAUGUCUUGUGAAAUUGGGGUUCAACCAUUUUAAACUCGUCGAAACACAGUCUGUAGCAGGAGACAACACUAGAAGCUGCCAUUGAUUUCUUUGUAGGAAGUGAGGCUGACAGAGCUUGCUACUGAUUUAGGGUUUCUGCUUGAGAGAGGAAGAGAGAGAUGGUCUUUUGAACUUCAUAUUUCAAAAAGGCGAUUUUAAUUUGUACCUGAAACUUCCCUCUCUUUAUUUUGCUUAGUGGGACAGGUGUCAAACUUUGCUUGGCUGUACGAAUUCUUGACAGAGAAGGAUUGUACUGAAUUGCCCUUAACUUCUUCUGGGAUGAUGUAUUCAUUAGUGGGACUACGAUCGUUGAGAUGGUCCUUGGAGUCGUCGAGUCUGUUCUACCAUCGUUGAGUCUGUGUAGCAGUCGUCGUGUCUGAGCUGUAAACGUAGAGUCUGAACUACGAUCAUUGAGUCUGACUGGCAAUCGCAGAGUUUGAAAAAGUCCUUGUGAUGAAUCUUUUUGACUUGGCAUUUUCCUUAAAUUAAGGUAGCUCAGGAAGGGCCAACCUCUUGAAAGAAACAAGGGUUAGGUUUGUUCCUGAGGAACUUAUCAGAGAGAAUGCUUUGAUUUAAUCUUGAUCAUCAUAGGGAGCUCCUUUUGUUUUGUUGAUGUAGUUCUAUUAUCGUUGAGUCUGCACUAUGAUCGUUGAUUCUGUUCAGCAUUCGUUGAGUUUUAUAUACUUUGGCUCUACGAUCGUGGACUUCCUUUGAUCAUGUCUUUUAUUUCAAAUACAACCUUUAAAUCUAUAUGGUUAGCAUAAAAUAAAGCAUAAUAUUUCAUGUUUGCAAGUUAAGCAUGCCUAGCUCACUUAUCAGUUUGUUGAAUCUGGAUUCAUCUAAAGGUUUUGUAAAAACAUCAGCAAGUUGAUUUUCAGUAGGGAUAUAUUGUAAAGAUAUUGUUCCAUUUUGUACAUGAUCCCUAAUGAAGUGAUACCUUAUUUCUAUAUGCUUAGUCCUAGAAUGCAUGACAGGAUUAUGAGUUAUAACAAUUGCACUUGUGUUAUCAUAAUGAAUAGGUAUGGAUUUGAAUUCAAACCCAUAAUCUGCUAGCUGAUUUUUUAUCCAUAGAAUCUGCGCACAGCAACUACCAGUAGCAAUGUAUUCAGCUUCUGCAGUUGAGGUAGAUACUGAGUUUUGCUUCUUGCUAAACCAGGACACAAGUCUGUUACCUAGUAAUUGACAAGUGCCACUGGUACUUUUUCUAUCUAUUUUGUAGCCUGCAAAAUCAGCAUCUGUAUAACCUGUUAGCUCAAAUGAGGAUUCCUUGGGAUACCAAAGCCCCAAGUGGGGUGUACCUUUGAGGUACCUGAAAAUCCUCUUUACAGUAGUUAAAUGAGAUUCUUUAGGACAUGCCUAAAAUCUAGCACAAAUGCAUGUUGCAAAUAUUAUAUCUGGUCUACUGGCAGUAAGAUAUAAAAGAGAACCUAUCAUACCUCUGUAUUGAGUUAUAUCAAUACUUUUACCUUUUUCAUCUUUGUUAAGCUUGGUUGCAGGAGCAAUUGGGGUUUUCAUGGGAGAGGCUGAUUCCAUACCGUACUUCUUGAGUAAGUCUUUAAUGUACUUGGCUUGGUUUAUGAAAAUUCCUUCAUCAGUCUGCUUUACUUGCAGUCCAAGAAAGAAGUUUAGCUUACCCAUCAUGCUCAUUUCGAAUUUGCUCUGCAUAAGCUUGGAGAAUCUCUUGCAUAACUUUUCAUUAGUAGAACCAAAGAUAAUAUCAUCAACAUAAAUUUGAACUAAUAGGACCUUAUCUUUAUGCUUUCUAAGAAAUAGUGUGGUAUCUAAUUUACCUCUAGUAAAUCCAUUUUCAAUAAGAAAGUUAGUCAGUGUUUCAUACCAUGCUCUAGGUGCUUGUUUGAGACCAUAUAAGGCUUUGUCUAAUCUAAAGACAUAAUUAGAAAGAAAUGGAUUGAUGAAACCUAGAGGCUUCUCUACAUUGACUUCUUCUUGAAGUUCACCAUUCAAGAAUGCACUUUUGACAUCCAUCUGAAAGACUUUGAACUUCAUGUGAGCAGCAAAGGCAAGGAAUAUUCUGAUGGCUUCUAGUCUGGCAAUAGGUGCAAAUGUCUCAUCAUAGUCAAUACCUUCUUUCUGAGAGUAGCCCUUGGCUACUAGUCUAGCCUUAUUCCUUGUUAUCACCCCAUCUUCAUCCAUCUUGUUUCUGAAGACCCACUUGGUUCCAAUUACAUGAUGGUUCUUUGGUCUUGGGACCAAUUUCCAAACUUUGCUUCUCUCGAACUGAUUAAGUUCUUCCUACAUGGCCUCUAUCCAGCUGGAAUCUUCCAUAGCAUCCUCUAUCUUCUUUGGUUCUAUUUGAGAUAGGAAGCUUAGAUAGAAGCAUUCAUUUUGAGUAGCAACUCUUGUCUUGAUUCUUGCGUUCGGAUCUCUAAUGAUUAGAUCUUGAGUGUGAUCUCUUGCCCAUCUGCUUCCUGUUGGAACAUCCAUUUUUAUGCCUUCUUGUCUCAGAUCUUCAAGAUUUAUUUCUUCUUCUUGAUGUGGAGGUUCAUUGUCUGGCAUAGGCCUCUCUACGAUCUCAUUCUCUUGCUUAACGAUUUCAUUAUUGGGCACUACGAUCAUAGUAUUGGGCUCGACGACCUCGUUCGCAUUGUCUUGGAGCACUAUUUUGUCUAAGUCUGUUUCAUCAAAGAUGAUGUGAAUUGAGACUUCUACACUCAGUGUCUUCUUGUUGAACACUCUGUAGGCAUUGCUGUCUGUGGCAUAUCCAAGAAAGAUUCCUUCGUCUGAUUUCGGUUGAAACUUUGUCAAGUACUUCUUUCCAUUGUUGAGUAUAUAGCAUGCACAGCCGAACACAUGAAAGUAGCUGACAUUUGGCUUUCUUCCUUUCCAAAGUUUAUAAGGAGUCUUCUUCAUCGUAGAGAGUAUGAGUGAUCUGUUCUGAGUAUAACAUGUAGUGUUGACCGCUUCUGCCCAGAAGUACUCCGGUAGAUGAGCUGCAGCUAGUAGAGUCCUUCCAGCCUCUAUUAAUGUCCUGUUCUUUCUCUCAGCAACUCGAUUUUGUUGGGGAGUUCAUGGAACUGAGAAGUUGUGACUAAUCCCAUUGUUUGUGCAGAACUGAUCCAUUUUUGAGAAAUCGAAUUCUCUGCCAUGAUCACUUCUUAUGUUCUUGAUUUUCUCUCCUUUCUCAUUCAUCACCAGCUUGAACAUCUUGAUUAGUUGGGGGCUUGUUUCAUUUUUUGAGGUUAGAAAAAAUACCCAUGUAAAUGUGGUGUAGUCGUCGACUACGACCAGUGAGUAUCUCUUUCCCCCAUGGCUCAUCAUUGGAAUUGAUCCAAAAAGAUCCAUAUGUAGUAAUUACAGAGGCUUGUCAAUUGAGUUGAUGGUUUUUCUCUUAAAUAAGCUUCUGGUCUGUUUCCUAAGUUGACAGGCAUUGCAGGGCCUUUCUUUAACGAAGUUGAAUUUGGGUAGGCCUGCAACUAGAUCUUUUGAAGCUAAUUUGGACAUGCUUUUGAAGUUGAGAUGAGAUAAUCUUCAAUGCCAUAGCCAGCUCAUUUCUUCAGAUGCUUUAGUCAUAAAGCAUAUUGUCUCGUCUGAGCUUAGUUGUCCAAGAUUUACUGUGUAGACAUUUCCUUCUCUUGUUCCGGUUAGCUUUACUGCAGAUGUCUUCAGGUCUCGGACUUGACAUUGAUUGUUGAUGAAUGUUACUUGAUGACCCUUGUCAUAGAGUUGGCUAAUGCUUGGAAGGUUGUGCUGUAGUCCUUCCACAUAGGCCAAUUUACUGAAUGAUACUGCACCAUUUUCGGCUGAGCCAUAGCCUCUUGUCUUGCCAGUGCCAUUAUCUCCAAAUAUGACUGAGGGACCUUCCUUCUCUAUGAAGUUAGACAGAAGGGCUUUGUUCCCAGUCAUGUGCCUUGAACAUCCACUAUCCAGAUACCAGGUUGUGUUUGUGGAGCUCCUUUCCUGAGGUAACAUUAAGCCUUCAUUUUGGUACCCAUAUUUGCAUGGGUCCUACUAUGUUAGUACCCUUGGGGACCCAAAUCUGCUUUAUUUUGGGUCUCACGUGCAUGGAAUUAUAAUGAUAAUUCGCAGCCUUAUGACCAACUUUGUGGCAUUCAAAGCAUUUGAUAUGAUGCAUGUAAGUGUGUUUGUGAAAGUUCUUCCUCCAUUUGGACUUUUGUGGGUUAUUGGUCAUCCUUCUACUAGGUUGAUAUCCCCUUUUCCAUGUGUUCUCUUGUUUCAUUAAUUGAGGAGAGUAUAUCUCACUUCUACUGUGUCUUCCUGGUUGGUUCGUAGAGUUGAUUUUAUUGGACUCUACGAUCCUUCGAGGUUGAUAAGUAGUAGCUAGAUUACUUCUCUUUUCUGAAACCUAGACCAGCAUGAGAUCCCUUACUCUUGGGAAUAUGAAUUGAAUUAUCCAGACAGGGUUUGACAAGCUCAUCAUUCUGUGAGGAUUUCACAAAUAUAAUGCCUUUACUAAAACCUGAGGCAUUACUAGUGUUAACAUCCUUUGUUUUUUCCACACAUGACUCUGAGAUAGAUCCCCCAAAGCCUAGCCAUGUUCUAUCAGAGACAUUUCUCUGAUUAGAGAUUAAAGAAUCCAUGAUUGAAGAAGAUUUAUUCUAUGUGGAGAUGGUCUUUUUUAGAUCCUCAAUUUUUGAGGUUAGACUAGACUCUUGUUUUGCACUAAGCUCAUUUGUUUAUCUUAAGAGCUUAUUCUCAGCUUCAAGCUCAGAGAAAGAAUUAGCACUGAGAAGGGUUGUUUCCAGUUCUUCUUGAACCUUUUCUUUCUCCUUUUUAAGAAGUGAAUAAUCCUUAGACAGAACUCUAAACCACUUCAUGUAUUGGUGUAGAUCAGAUGUUAUGCCAUGCAAUGUAGUUCUAAGAUCAUCAAUAUCUACAUCAGGAGAGUUAAAGUCAAAUACCUCAUCGAUACUUACUUCGUGUAUGUUAGAGUUCUGUUUGUCCCUUGCAUUUUUGACCAUCAAGCAGAGAUUUGCUAUUUGAGGGUCUUCAUCAUCCCCAGAUUCAGGAGUUGAGUCAUUGUCUAAGUCACUCCACGAUCCUCCAGCUACAAGACCUUUUUCUUUCUUCUGUGGCCCUUUGUUGCCUCUGUAUUCUUUCUUUGAAUGAGAUUUCUUCUUGAGUUCUUCUCUAAGAGGUUUGUUACAAUUUGCAAUAAAGUGGCCUGAUUUCUUGUAAUUGUAGCAUAGGUCAUUCAUUUGCUCCUGGCUGCUGUAGUUGCUGACUUUCUUUGGCUUGUUGGUUUUGCCUCGUCGCAUGAACCUUCUUAGCCUUUUCACUAGCAUUACAAGGUCCUCAUCAUCAUCUUCAUCAUAAUCAGAAUCAACUUCAGUGCUGACUUUGGAGGCGUUAUCUGUUGCUUUAAGGGCUACACCUUUAUCCUUCUGCCUACCUUCAGAUAAGGUUUCUGCUCGUUGAGUCAGCUCCAGUUCAUAUGUGAGAAGGUUGCCAUACAACUGUUGAACAGUCAUUUCAUGUAGAUUUUUGGAUUCUCUAAUGGCAGUGGUUUUGGCAUCCCACUUGCUUGGUAAGGCUCUCAUGAACUUUAUGAUUAGAUCUUUGUUAGGAUAGAUCUUCCCAUAGGCUCGUAGAGAGUUGAGCAGUACAUUAAAUCUUUCGUAAGUGGCAGUAACGUUCUCUCCUUGAACGUGAGCGAACAUCUCAUAUUGCUGAGUCAAGAGAGAUUGUUUGUUUUCUCUGACUUCUUCUGUUCCUUCAUGCAUGAUGAGCAGUGUUUCCCAAACCUCCUUCACUAUUUUGCUGCUGACCACAUUUUUGAACAGAUCAUCUUUUAAAGAUUGGAACAAGAUGUUUUUGGCCUUUUUCUCGAGCUGGAUAGCUCUCUUCUCGUUCUCUGUCCAUUCUUCCUUGACCUUGAUCUGUACUCUGUUUGGGUCAUCUGUAGUUGGUGCAAGCUUUGUAGGAACAUAGGGUCCAUUCUGAACAGUUUCAAAUAGAUCUUCAUCUAUUUCAUCUAUGUAAGCUUGUAUCCUAACCUUCCAGUUAGCAAAUUUUUCUUUGUUGCACAUUGGUGGCUUGCUGCCUCCUCCAGUCUUUGAUUCGCUUGGUAAGUGUGCCAUUGGAUCUACUUAAGCUUUGUAGGUUGUAUUAUAGAACCUUCUUUGAUACCAAUUGUUAGUUCCCAGUAGGCACGAUAGAUAUCUAGAAGGGGGGUUGAAUAGAUAAUUAAAACUUUUCUUUUAAUCUUUUUAAGUUGAUGGCAAUCAAUGCACAGUGGAAUGAGUAUAUGUGAAAAACCUUCUGUUAUAUAUCUUGAGUUAAUGAGAUUAAGACAGUUAUGACAGUUAUAGCAAAUAUUGCAGUUAUAGCAGUUAAUGAACACAAUAGUUUUAAGUGGUUCAGAGCACUAAAAGCUCCUAGUCCACUCUUCUACCCCGUGAGUAGGAAAUCCACUAAGUAUGUCUGUUACACUUCUUGAAUCUCACAGAUUCCUUCUAGACCAGCAGUCUAGAUACUUCUUAGUUCACUCUUGAACUCUUCAAGUCCAGUAGACUUGGUUUCUCACAGUUCACUUAGAACUCUUCAAGUCCUUCAGACCUGGAACUCUUACUUCAGUUGAUUGAAUGUUGUUUAGAUCGUGAUUGAUGCUAUUCAGUUUCUAGUAAGCACUUGUUCGAAAGAACUGAAUAGCUGAGCAAGCUUUUCCUUUUUCUCAGAUCGUAGAGUUGAGUGUUGAGUGUUCUUAUGCGUUUUUUUCGUUCAAUACUUGCUUCUUCUUUCUCAUCUGUCUUUGAUCUGUAUAUAUAUGAUCUUGAAAUCUAUCUGUUGAAGUCAUCUGAUGAGCCAUUAAAUGUGUUUGACAUUUUUGAACUUUGAUGGAAACUUUUCUGCACAUCUUCUGAAUUACACUCUGGCCCACUGACACAGCAGACUGCUUUCUCACCUAACACCUCAAAAGGUGUUUUCCUCUGCCCAAUGGUCCUUUUCUUAGCUUCUUGAGUACAUUUCUUUUGAUCAAUACUAAGGAUAUCUUUUGUACGUUGGGACUGGUGAGAGCUUCAAUGUUCAAAACCCAUUCCAUAUUUGUUGGAGUCCAUCUUCAGAUGAACGAUAGGGCUUGAUGUUUCUGACACAAAGCAGAUGACACUCUACUAUCAAUAUCAUAAUGUCUUGUCAUAUUGGUGCCUGUUCGUAAGAGAUCACUACGAUUUCUCACAAGGAUUUGCACACUACGUUCUUCACUUGCUCGUCUUGUAAACUCUACAUUUCCGAGAGCACACUAAAAUAUUUUAACACUACGAUCUUCACUUGCUCGUCUUGCAGAUUCUGUGUUUCCGAGAGCACACUACGAUCUCUGAGUUAGUUUCGGCAAAAGUCUGGACCACACCUCAAUUCGUGGAGAGGCCCUUCAAGGCAGAUACACUACGAUCAUCUCAGCACUACGAUCCUGCCUUAGCUUUUGCAUUCUGUUGAUCAGCCGGAUAGACUGCGAGUGAACAUUAAAGACUAAGAUCAACCUAACACUUUUGAUCUAUCACUAAGUCUUUGUACAUAUAUUCUUUGAAGGACUUUACAUAAUCAUGAGUAGUUUCAUAAAACAUCAAAUCAUAAUAUGCAUUCUUCCAACAACUUGCUUAAUAAAGAUUAAGAUUUAGAUGUUUGGCUUGUUCGUAGACUAUUGACACAAUUAAGCUUAACUUGUUCUCACAAAGCCUACAUAAUUAUAUUCGCAUUCAUAAGCAUAUUAGUCCAAUAUUCAAGUCACAUAGCUUGUAUAUUCACAUAUCAUAUAAUCACAUUGAUUAUAUUUUUAGUUUGGGUUUUUACUUUUGAGUUACUUGUAUACAUUUUUCAAACACCUCAUCCAUAUUCUUACCAUAACCAUUUUCUUCUUUAAUAGGUUUGACAUAAUCUCAGUUCAUGAAUCUCAUACAAUUUUAAUUCAUAUUGAUCCUUUUGUAUUUUACUAUAUGAAUAUUUCAUAAUUUCCUUUAUAACUUAAGUAUUCCAGGUGAAUACAUAAGAUAUUUUAUGACUUGACUAUGAUUGCGUAUCAUAGGAAUAGAAUCAUAGUUUUCAAUUUACUUUCCAACUCAUAGUAACCAACUAAUCACUUAAACUUAUUACAUUCCUAAGGUAUUCCAAAACAGUCCUCUUGUAACAUUAGCAAUCCUUUAAGGUACUAACAAUUUUAACUUGACUUAAUAGUUCCAUUUUGUUAUACCAAUGCAUCAAUUAUUUUUGCUUUCUUCUAUGAUGUCAAAACAGCCAUUUGAGACUUAAACAGUCCCAACUUGGCUUAAUACAUCCAAUCCAUCCAUGUUAGCUUCUAUUUCAAAGCUUACUAACUUACUUAUACAACCCUUGAGUCCAUUCAAGAUUUAUUCAUAUAAUCUAAUGUGUUAAAGCUAACAUGUAUUAACAUCCCACUAAACAGUACCCUCCAUGUUUCAUGCUUAAAAAAAUAAUUUUAACCUUUUUAUUUGUUAUUUAGAAACUUUUAAAUCCAAACCUUAUGGACAGAUCUUCAACCUAAUCCUAAAGUUAAAGUAACUAGUCUAAAACUAUUAUAACAGCCACUUGUUGUCAACUGCUACUACCCAUAGGCAGCAGCCCCCAUCCCUUGCCCAUUAUUUCAUGCGAUUAUAUUCAUUUACAAUGACAUUUUUAAUAAUAUAGGGAUGAUUUAUACAUAUAUAAUAGUAUGCCAAUAGCUGGGCACUUAGAGCAACAUAAGUGCAAUGAAUGAAAACUCAGGAAGAGCUCCCAGCCCAUGCCACUCAUGCUCACUGCUACUGCCGAGGCAACUGCCCUGUCCCCCUAGUUCCAAACUAUAACUUAUUUACUCUUAUAUGAUACUAUUUUGGGAGACAAGGCACUUUGCCUACCUCUCUAUUUAACAAAUGUUAAACAAGUUGUUUAAACAUCUUAAAUUAAAUCAACUGAGAGCCCCCAACUAAUGCUAUACACAUCCAUUGCUGCUGCUAUGGGCAGCAUCUCUAUUCCUUUUCUCAGGCCAUUUUUGGUACUUCAUUUAGUAAUCCAUUCAUAUCCCACCUUUUCGUUUCCAUUUAAUAAGCUUACACACUCUAACUAUCAUCAUGUAUUGCAUACAUAUUCAGUCCAAGCUUUAACUCCAUCACAUAAUCAAUUUUUAAGCAAAACAGUCCAUUUGGAACUUUUAUCGAACAGUUAGUGUGCACAGUUUUGAUACACAACCUUUAUAGCUAUAGGUUUGCUCUUCCAUCCCAUGUAAGCCUCUUUAUUCCUCCACACAACCAACCUAUCUCCUCUAUUCUAAUUUCACAAACAUGGUUUCAUAUCAGCCACAUAUAUAUGUACAUAUGUAAUCAACAAUUAGCACACUGAGUAGUUUUAUAUAUUAAAGAAUACAAUUCCUUUGACUUACAAAGUUUUAGGGAAAAACCUCCUAUUUGGGUAUUUUACCGAAUACUUCAUCAUUUCAGAACUUUAAUUUCCAUAAACAUAUAGCACAUACCAGAUUUUAUACGGAAGUUACGUGCAACAAACACAGAGACCCAAUUUCCUUUAAACCUAAUACAUACAAAUGAUUUAACACCUAAUAGUAAAGUAACAUUACCUCUUUGGUUUACUUCACUAUUAUCCAAAUUUGGAGCUUAGUUCAACUUCUUUUCUCCCAGUUAUUGAAUAUCAACCCAAUUCUUCAAAGAUCAUCAAAGUUUCAAGCCUUUUCCAUUCAUGGAAUUAGAGAAGUAGGAGGUAAAUAUACAUAAAUUUGUUAUUUGGAGAACUCUGAACAUGAAGAGCAAAGUUUUGAAUUAUAGGAGACCCAGGGGUGAGCAUGGUGCGGUUUGAAGUCCAAACCGCACCUGAAACCGCUUAGAUGCGGUUUAAAAAAUUCAAGAUCGCACACAAAACCGCUUGUGAUUGAUGCGAUGCGGUUUUAAACUGUGCGGUGUGGUUUCAAUUGGUGCGGUUUCGGUUACAAAACCAAUUGAAACAACAAAAAAGUCUAAGUCUUCAAUACAAUUUAACACAAAGCUCACAUCGAGCAUUUAACUUAGUGACAGAGUCGGCAAUGAGAAUUAUAUCUAAAAGAAUAUGAUCCCUUGAUCUUUUCUCAUUCAUCCCUUGGUAAUAUAUACAGAGUAUAGACAAAUAUUAUGCCUACAAGUUAGGCUAAGAAUAAGGAAACGGUAUAAUUUUACAAUAGAAUAAUAUCCUAAAUUAAAUAUAAAAUAUUUACAAUAAUAAUGAGAAUAAUCACAUAUAUUCUAUCACACCCCCGCAGUUGAAGCAGGAGGUUGUCGAACGCUUAGACUGUCCCGGAAGUCAUCAAAAAGUAUGCGCGGGAGCCCUUUGGUAAAUAUGUCAGCAAUCUGAUAACGUGAUGGAACAUGAAAGACACGCACUUUGCCACGUUUUACCUUUUCACGAAAAAAAUGAAUGUCCAUCUCAAUAUGUUUAGUGCGUUGAUGUUGUACUGGAUUGCCGGAGAGGUAUAUCGCACUCAUAUUGUCGCAGUAUACAAGGGUUGUCUUGUGGACCGGACAAUGAAGUUCCAGGAAUAAAUUUUGGAUCCAACAGGAUUCAGAGACAACAUUGGCAACCCCUCGAUAUUCAGCCUCGGCACUUGAUUUAGAUAGUGUGGGUUUCCGUUUAAAGGACCAUGAAAUCAGGUUGUCACCAAUGAAUAGACAAUAACCAGAGGUGGAGCAACGUGUGUCAAGACAGCCACCCCAAUCAGCAUCUGUAUAAGAAAGGAGAUAAUCAAGUUUAGACUUAUACAGAUGCAAACCAUAAUUAAUCGUUCCAUGAAUAUAGCGUAGAAUACACUUGAGAGCAUCCAUGUGCUCGACUUUCGGAUCAUGCAUAUGUAAGCAUACCUGUUGAAUCGCGUAGGAGAUAUCUGGCCUGGUAAAAGUAAGAUAUUGCAAAGCACCAGCUAGACGGCGAUAUUUAGUUGGGUCCUCAUAAGGCUUGCCAGUAGAAACACUGAGUUUCCCUUUUGUGUCAACAAGAGUGGGACAUGGCUUGCAACCUAUCAUACCAGCUCUUUUAAGUAUUUCCUGGGCAUAUUUUGUCUGUGAGAGAAAAAGGCCAUGGGCAGUCCGGGUGACUGCAAUACCCAGAAAAUAACUCAACUGUCCCAAAUCCUUCAUUGCGAACUCAGAACUGAGAAGAGACAUGAUUGAUAAUCGAAGAGCAUCGGAGGAGGCCGUGAGAAUUAUAUCAUCAACAUAUAAUAAAAUAUAAGCAAUGUCAGAUCCAUUUUUGUAGAUGAACAAAGAAUGAUCGGACACACUAUGAGAGAAACCAAUAGUGGCUACAUAGUCUGCAAAGCAUUGAUACCAGGCAUGAGGGGCUUGCUUAAGACCAUAGAGUGAUUUCUUCAACAAGCAGACAUAGUCAGGAUGAACUGCAUCCUUGAAACCUAAAGGUUGAUAUUUAUAAAUAGUUUCAGUUAGAUUACCAUGAAGAAACGCAUUUUUAACAUCCAACUGAUGAAUGGCCCAAGAUUUUGAUAAUGCAAUGCUCAAAACUAUAUGAAUAGUGGCCAGUUUAACAACCGGGCUGAACGUCUCAUCAUAGUCCACUCCAGCUUUUUGAGACCUGCCAUCACCUACAAGAUGGGCU